UUCCUCCAAAAUAACGUGUCGAAACUUAGCACAAAGAUGUGUGCAAUAAAUAGAGUUGCUCCAUCCUUAAUCAGAGGUCUUGGAUUUGAGUUUUGGGUAUGAAAAAAUCUUUGGUAAGGAACACUAUCCCCUAAAUAGGACCCUAUUCGACGCGAAUCUGAAUUAGUCGGACUCCAAUGCGAAUAUCGAAUGAGAAAUAAAAAAAAAACAUAUCGAAACGACUGAAUAUUUC
rnacentral:lncRNA from 1 species